AUUGAACGCUGGCGGCAUGCCUUACACAUGCAAGUCGAGCGGGGUUUUCGGACCUAGCGGCGGACGGGUGAGUAAUGCGUAGGAAGCUGCCCGAUAGAGGGGGAUACCAGUUGGAAACGACUGUUAAUACCGCAUAAUGUCUACGGACCAAAGUGUGGGACCUUCGGGCCACAUGCUAUCGGAUGCGCCUACGUGGGAUUAGCUAGUUGGUGAGGUAAUGGCUCACCAAGGCGACGAUCUCUAGCUGGUUUGAGAGGAUGAUCAGCCACACUGGAACUGGGACACGGUCCAGACUCCUACGGGAGGCAGCAGUGGGGAAUAUUGGACAAUGGGCGCAAGCCUGAUCCAGCCAUGCCGCGUGUGUGAAGAAGGCCUUCGGGUUGUAAAGCACUUUCAGCGAGGAGGAAGGGUGGUGUGUUAAUAGCACAUCAUUUUGACGUUACUCGCAGAAGAAGCACCGGCUAACUCUGUGCCAGCCGCCGCCGUAAGAC
rnacentral:rRNA from 1 species